AUAGUUCCAACUACGCAAAAUCUAUCUUUUUUAGGGAAAAGGUUUUAACAUCCUCAUAAUUCAAACUAAGCAACUAACAAGACUUUCUCCAUCUCAAGUCUGGAAGUAUUUGAACUCAUAACUAGAAAUCAAGGCAGUACUGCAUGUCGUGGACGUACUGUACUACAAAAUUGACGCAUAAACCACACAGUGAUGGAAUACUAUCCAGCUAACUUGAAAUCAAAACGAAAAUGUAGGAAAAAUAUAAACAAUACGAAUUGAAUCUCAUCAAAUUCAUCAUCAAAUCUACGAAAAUCAAACAAAAAAACAAAGGGAAUAGAAAUAGUAAAUUGCAACUGAAAGGAAGAGAAGCAAGUAAAGUACAACAAAACGAUGAGCAGAUCUAACUUAAAAACACAGAAAAACCUGAUGUAGGCGCGCGGUCCAUGUCGCCGGUUCGCUGCUUCAGAUCGUUCUCGGCUUCCUGGUUGGGCAUGACGACGCCGGUGGAGAGGAAGCUGACGGGCUUUGUGAAGUCGGCCUUUCUGUCUUUGCGGCGUUUCCUGGAGCCGUCGUCUUCGUCGAAGUCGGAAUCGGCGAAAAGAGGAAGGACUUGAAAAAAGAAAAAAAAUCAGUGAGAAAUAUCAAGUGCGAAAAAGAGGAAGGACUUGAAGAAAAGAAAUGGUAAAAAAAGAAAAAAGAAAUAUCAGUGAGAGAUAUCAAGUGCGAAAAAGAGGAAGGACUUGAACAGAAAAAGCUUACCUGAUAUGUUUCUACUCUUAUGUGCAGACUUCAGAUAUGGGGCGGUAUAAAACUGAUAGGUAUGAAACUAAGGUGGAGCGAAUUCCCUAAUAUUCAGAAUCAGUAAAAAAAAAAAGCAACACGGAUAAACUUGGAGCGAAUUCCUAAUAUUCAAUAGUAUCAUGAAAUUAAGGUGAGAAAAAGCCGAGAUGAAUAACAAAAUUAAAUUAGUUGAUGUGAUGAGUAUCAGUCCCAAGUAAUUACUUUAUACUACUCUCCUUUUGAAUAAUUCAAUGUAUUAUACAUAUACAGUCAUCUCUUUGUUUACGGUUUAUGAAAAGAAAGCACUUAGAACACGUAUCACAUAUUCAUAUGCAAAGAAAUAAUGAAGACGAUAAGUAAAUUAAUGUUGUCUUAUACCACUGACCUAGACUAUAAUUUAAUGAUAUAUGUGGUAUCUAAUUUAGCAUUUCGACCAAAUCCAGCUAAAUCAUCUUCUGAGUUUACAUAAGGAAGCAAAAGAAUUAAAUGAGGUAUGGGGUUUCAUAAAUCCCAUAUAUACGAGUUCAAAAAUGAGGAAAAUGGGGUUUCACAUGAUGCUGGUUAACAACGUUUCGUGUAAAAAUGAGGGUUCAAAGGUCUUUUAUAGGGAUAACACAAAUACCAUUGGAUCAAGCUUUAAUAUAACCAGACGGCUAAGAUUGUUAGGCAUUUUAUCAGUAAAUCCAGACAUAUUAGAUCUUUAGCCAUGCUACCCUAUUGCUAAAGUAAAUGUAGAAAUGUUCAAUCAGAUACUUCAGGAGAGACAUAUUCGAAACUGGCAAUUUACUAUAGCAAAUAUAAGAAUACUUACAAAAAGAAAUUCUGAAUUUUCUUAAAUAAGAAAACAUAAAGUAGAAUUCACAUAAAGUUGACUAAACUAAAUUCACUUCAAUUCGUAUACUAUGUUGCGAAUAGUAACCAUUUUUUAUGUUUUCAAGUUUAAUACUGUGAAGUAUCAUGCUAACACAAAUUGAAAAUUUAAUAAAUUCAAUAAUUAUUUGACUGCCUCACAGUUUGUGUUUUAUAGUUCAGUAUUUUUGAGGAUCAUGGUACACAUAGAAAAUUAUAACAAAUUCAAAUAUAUGUUGAUUGCCUCAAGUAAACCCCAGAUACAUUAUUAAAAGUUAAUAGUUUCAUUAACAAUAGAUUACAUAUAUUAUAGAAAUUAGUGGAAGAUUGAAAUUAUGACAGAUAAAAAAGCAUACCAAGCUGUUGCAAUUGUAUCCAGAUGUCGAACUACAGAACAAACAGAAUGUGUAUAACAGAAAAAUUUAUAUUAGUUAAAAAAUAAGAAUGGAAAAUAAUCUAAUAGGAGUCGUCAUAUAUAAAAAUAUGACAGAAAAUUCAUUACCAAUAAACAAAAACAUGAAUUUUCAAAACCUCGAUCCAAGGCUAUACUAACAAAGGGGCAUGUGUCACUAUCAGAAACACAUGCAAAACACCCUCAUUUUGUAAAAGAAACCUGCAUGGAAAAAGCUUGUGCAAGUUCAAGUUGUGGUAUAUCUAGUAUUUGUGUCAAUU
rnacentral:lncRNA from 1 species